GACAGAGGGUGCAAACGUUGUUCGGAAUUACUGGGCGUAAAGGGCGCGUAGGCGGGUCGUUUAGUUAGAGGUGAAAGCCCAGGGCUCAACCCUGGAAUUGCCUUUAUACUGGCGGCCUUGAGUAUGGCAGAGGUGUGUGGAACUCCGAGUGUAGAGGUGAAAUUCGUAGAUAUUCGGAAGAAACACCAGUGGCGAAGGCGGCUCACUGGCCCCGGUACUGACGCUGAGG
rnacentral:rRNA from 1 species